UUGUUUUCAAGUGCUGAGAUUAACAUUGUGCUAUUAACAUAAUAUAACUGGCAAUCAUAACUAUUGGAGCUCUCUUAGACUGUCCUGUCCCCUUCUUACAGUGCAGAAGGCACUUGGCGCAAUGAUCCCUUGUUACUGCUUGCAGAUGGAAGUGCAAGGACUUGGACAUCUUAUGAAAAGGGGAAGAUGAACUUCCUUCUGUUUAUUUAUCUUUUUUUCUUCUCUUCCCUAUAGCUGGAAGAUUUCACAGCAGAACAUGAAGUCCUGACUGGGGAAGGAAGAUGUUGCCCCAAAAUAAAAGCAUAAAAUGGAGCUAAGCCAUGAAGAAUUUAAAUGUAAAAUAUUAGUGCAGUUAAGUAGGAGCAUCUCUGGAAUAUAAAGAAAUGUUAGUGGCAGAAUGAUGGCAGACAGGGAGCAGGAACAAGCUUUCAGGCUGAGUCUAGAGACCUUUAUUUUCUGUGUUAAAGAUACUCUGCAAUUGCUGCUGUUUCCUCCAGCAGGAGAGUGGAACUUUAUCUACCCUGGGAACACUUGGAAAUGGGUGGAAGGCAAAUGAGAACAAUUCUGCCUUGCAAGCAGACACGACGAGGAUCUGUGCAGUCUGGGUUAAGCCCUGAGUGAAAGACACUGCCCAGUUAUCAGCUGAGACAGCCCCAAGGCUCCCAGCAGCUGUAAGAUCCAUGGCAGUAAGGAUUAAAGUCUUUCAGAAUGCCAUUGGAAAAGGACUGGGGAAAGCAGGCAAGGAAAUAAGUAAUAAUGAGAAGAAAAACAGCUCAGGAUCAAGCGUAAAGCUGAGACUAUGGGCAGAAAAAUGGGACAACUGUGUUAAGGGACUUGGGGGUGCUUCUUAAAUAAGGGGAUUGGACACACUGGGCACAUAUACCAGUUGUUUGAUGUCCAACUUCCCCCUUGCACUGAUUACACAUUGAAAGCUCUGGGGAUUAACUAUUGGCACCAGGGUCUUAACAGCUACAUGUAUUUGAACAUCCUAAUUAUAGGGAAUGGCAGUGGAAUUAGAGCUGAUUCCUCCCUGUUCCUCAGUGGCUGGUUUGUCUGAUCCCAAGGCUGGGGUAAGGGCCUGUCUCUGCAUGGAGCUACAAUUACCCAAAAAUCUCUGUCUGCAUUGUAGGGAAGGGAAGUGAGGCAGAGCCUGGAGCUAAGCAGUAGCAAAACCUGAUGGAUUGCAGAUCCUGCAGGUGCCUCAGUGCUGUUUAGCAAUCUCAAGUGUGACAGAUUUGCUUCUAGAAUAGUACUGGUACAGCCAGGUUGCUCUUCAGGUUCAAACCUUUUAGUCCAGGGCUGCACUGAAGGUUUCAGUGUUCUGAGCUGGGGCUGAAGACACUGAGUUCUCUGCAGGCAGCCCCAUUGUCAAUGCAGUGUCCUCUGCAGCAUUCCCAAACCCCUGGAUGUUGAAAUAUGUUGAAAUACCCAACUGCAGCAACCCAGGCAACAAAUCCUUCUGGGAAUGGCACAGUUCUCCAGCUCUGGUGAUGAAAUUGAUUCCUGAGCUCUUACACAGGUAAGGAUUCUAUGACUUUGUGGAAGGUCGAGGAAUGACACAGAGCAUCAUAGGGAGCCAAACUAGGCACAUUAAAUAGGAGAGACAGUCCUCUGUGUUUCAAGCCCCAAACCCUGUCUUGGCUCACUUCCACACACACAGUCAGUCCUCUGCCUGCUCCUCAGGAGGGUAAAUUUGGCUGGUAUCUCUGGAAAGGACUUCUCACUGUAGCUUGUUUAGAAGGAAUUAAUCUAUUUAUAGGCAUGAUCAGGCUCUUCAUCUCUGUCUUUCCCUUAGCAUUAGGCAAUGAAAAUCCUGGCCUUACCUGUGGAUGCAGGAAUGCUACAGUUAAUUUUGGUAUGCUCUGUUAUUUAUUGAGUCCCAGAGCCCCUGUGUCUCCUUGUUUGUCCUUGUAUUAAGUACAAGUUUAUCUACAGUGAACUGCAGCAGCGCAGCACCUGGUAAGUGAAGAGCAAGUCCUGGGCUGUUCCAGCAUACUGGGAUAACUGGGCUUCUGGCUGGCAGCUCCUGGCCCUCUGCAUCCUGUCAGGAGGGGAGGCUUGAGCAGUUCCUGUAGGACACUCAGCCCCUGAGCUCUCUGGAAAUGGGGGUCCUGGUUUCUCUUGGAUGACUGUACAAAGAUCUAUCUGCAGGUCUGGACUGGGGUUCUGCAGAGCCCAGAAUGAUGAAGGCUGUCUAGAAACCAUUAAUAAAGAUCAGAACUUGAUGGCAUCAAUAACUCCCUUCGGGCUUCUUGCAGGCUGAGAUAGUGGCAGAUUGCCAAAAUUACUUAACGUCCUGGAACACCCAUUCCAGUAUGAAUAGGUUUCUUGUGUACAACUCACAUGAUCCUGGUGUUUUCCUGGUGUCUCUAUGGAGAUUGGAGACAUUCUUCUGAUCAAUUGGUUGUGGAUCUUUUCUUUGCUGAUUUCAGGUAAAUUGUCAUGUGGAAAAAAAGAAAGCAGAGAUAAUCCUCUGAAUAAUGAAUAAAGCAUCAGUCACAGAACACCAAAACAUCCUGGCUGUUUUAUAGAAGGAGUUGCAAAUAUUUUUAUUUUUUCCUUUUUGACACACUACCAGCUUGGCAGAGAUUUAGCAAGACUUGUGCAAAAAUAAUUUGCCUUAGGCAAAGCUGGAUGAAGUAUUCACAUGUGGAUCCUCAUCCAAAUGAGUCUGGAGCAUGAAUUAAAGAGUGAAGUAGUGUUAGAUUUGGGAAGCCUUCCCUGCCAAAAAAUUGGGGGUGUCUUUUGAAAGAUGUUCCAAUUUAAAACACUCAUUCUCAUGAGAUUAGGUACUUCCCUUCACAAUUGGCUCCAGUCGCUCUAGAAAAAUGAGUUAAAUGAGAUUGUUGUUACCUUGGCCAUAUUAAAAUAGUUGUCUCUGUUUUCACUGGCAUCCCAGAGAGGACAGCAAUAUGGGUAGGAGGAGAAUGAUGGUUGGGUGCUUCCUUCCCUUUAAGGGUGGAUUGUGGAAUUAAUUGGAGAAAGGGGAAAAACACUGUUUAUUGUCCCAUGAAUAUUUGGGGUGACAAGUAGGGGACCAGGUGUUUCUGCCUUGCCCAAACUGGACCCUCAGGUGGCACAGAAUGUUCCUUUGCAUUCCUGGUUGCCACUCCCAAACUUCUUAGCCCUAGUUUAUAAAUCCAGAAUGUAACCUCUUAGCUAUAGCCUGGAAAAACAAAUCCCACUUGCUGAAAGAUGGGCUCUGUUCCUUGGCAUAGCCUCUGGUGUACGUGGUAUCUGUCCAACUCCCAGAAAAUCAGAGCCACCCCAUAAAUACCUCUCUAGAUGCCUUCUGUUCUGCCAGUGGGUCUGUCUCAGGAUUCAUAGUGACUUACUCCUUCUGGUUUAGUUCCUUGGUGCCCUGUGUAGUGGCACAGCAGUUCCCUGGGAGCUUAUGGAAAUACUCCAACUCCAGUGCCAGAGUCUGGUUGCAGGGUUUUGGUAGCAACAGGUAGGGAAGGAGAAGUUGCUCAGGUGUUGUGUGUCCUGCAAAGAGGUAACUGGAAAAAAAUUAGCACACUCCCUCACAGCCCCCAGUGUGCUAUGGGGGAAAAAAAUGAGGUCACAGAGAAAAAUUCUGGGAUUUAGAUUCUGCUCUGCCUGGAUAGGACAUGAUGGUGAGUGAGAGCUGGCUUCUGUCCCAAGCAUUAACAGAGCGAAACUUUGCCUCAGUUUCUCUGCAUGUAAAUCUGAGACCAUAUAUAGGUCUCCUUUUUAAGAGGUUUUGUGAAUGUGUCAUGAACUUUAUGGCUUGUGUGUUCUGAGCCUGCUAUCAGCACUGAUAAAAAUGGUUAUUAGCUGUACUAUUACUUUAAAUCAGAGCAUCUUAACUAAUUUGGGGACUGGCCAGUGGCUCCAGUCACAUGAUGAAUACCUUAUACUCUAUUUCUAGGUGAUUCAAAGUUGGCUCUAGGCAAGGGAGAUUAGGUUUAGGGCUUGAGGCAGAGCAGGAAAUAAAACAAAGGUGUCCCAAUUGAUAGUUCAGCUUUCAGUAUAAUUUUAUUGAAGAAAGUAACUCAAGCUUUGGUUUAUUCUGAGCAUGUCAAGGACACCUUUGUAAUGUUGCUGCCCUAAGCACAGGGCUGCCCAUUAAGGGACAAAACUGGAGCCAGGAAUGGUUUGGAACCACACAAAUGCUGCAGCAUCACAGUGGGGGGAUAGGGAGUAGGAGAGGAAUCAGUUGGACUCAGAGUGAGGCCUGGUGACACUCAAAGAAGUGGCAGACAAUUUAAGAAAUUCUUUAGUCAGUAAAAUGGAGGCUCGUGUCCCUUGGAUUAAUUCCUGCUUGAAAAAGAGAAGAAAUCCUGGUCCCUGGCUGCCCAGCAGCCGUUCGUGGUGUGCAGGUGCCGGCCUGGGGCACAGACUGUGUCAGAUCUCCUGCCCUCCAAACCUUCCCGAAUGUGCCUUUCACUUUCCAGCCUCUGUUCCAGCUCUCAGCCACAGGAGAAAGCUCAGGGAGAAGCACUUCUCAGCAAGGCUGUUCUACAUAGGAAGGGUCCUGGGGCUCCAACAGCUGCUCGGGGUUUGAGUCGCCUUGGCAGAUGUUCGCUAUUCCAGCCACUUCAUUAAUUUUGGAAACAAAACCCCUGAUUAUUCCUGACCAAAGCACCCCCUUUUUGAUUGACAGCCAGUGUGUGUUUCAUCCGACAUAACCCACCGUAUUGCUCUGACCACUUACUUUUAAAAAAACAUUAAUAAAAAGAAAUAAAGUUUCUAGAGAUGUGUUAGUGUGGGCUAAUCCCGCCUGCCAGUUCAUAUGCUUGGGCUCAGGUGAGGACAUUACAUUUCUAGAGUAUGGACAGAGGUGCCAGCCACACACCUCUGGAUAUUCAGCCCUUCAGAUGUGAGAAAGAAACAUUUAAAGACAAGCAGAGUCUCUUGUCCCGUGAGCUCAGAAAGCCCAUGGUUUGCUUCCCCUCUUGAUUUCUGGGUUGGAUCUAGUCAAGCUCCUGGAAUACUCUUCAGGAAACAUUCCUCUGCUGUGUUGUGUCAGGUUUUUCAAAGGCAAGAAAAGCAGGAUAAAUUUGAAGUGGGGGUAGGGUGGGCUGCAGCUCCUGGCCAAAUCCCAAGGUAACGUAAGUAAUAAAAUGCCAUUUGCUGCUUCUUUGGGGCUUAAAUCAGUGGCUUGCUUGCUAUUGCCUCCAAAAUAUUCUUUGCAAUAAUUAUCAGCAAUACUAAUUGCUGAAGCUAAUGUUGCUGGAGCUAAUGUUGCUGGUAAUUACUUAGUUUCC